UGUAAAUAUACGAUCAAAGAUUCCACAUAGGGAUACCCGAGCACCUGGUACCGCAGUUGGCGCCGUAACAAGUAUAUUCAUGUCAAAUAGUUCUGAGGUAAACAACAUUCGACAUAGGUACUCACAUCGAAGGAAUUUUACGCAGAGGAUACAUGCUAUAUAAAUUCAAAAUAGAGUCAUAACUGUUUAAACUAUUUGCCAUGAAAGCGACUCAAGUGUACUCCAGUAUUCAAUACAAAUAAACUCGUUUUUAUGCGAUACUUAUGCUUUUCAAUAAUACCACAGGGUGUAGACAGGUUAGCCGACUUGGAUAGUGCAGCUAUCAAAUGCCCUGCCAAUAGUUUUGUCGGAACACCUUACUGGAUGGCCCCGGAAGUGAUUCUGGCGAUGUAUGAAGGAUAGUAUGAUGGCAAGGUGGAUGUUUAGUCACUAGGAAUUACUUGUAUCGAGCUGGAGAAACGGAAUCAUUCCUACUUCAACAUGAAGGAAAUGUCGGCGCUGUAUCACAUUGCGCAAAAUGAGGCAUCCACGUUGCAGGCUACGGACUGGAAAGAUGUGUUCAGCAGUUUUGUUUUUUGCUUGAAGAAACCUUCGGUAGAGUAACCAAACGCUAGUAAACUGUUAACUCAUUCAUUCAUAUCUAGGAUGCGAUUGCUAAAUGUGCUAAUUGAUUUGGAAGCAAGAACAAUAGCUGCCGUUAUAGAAUUGGACAAUCUGAACUGUAGGAAGAUGAAAAAUUUUUAAAUGACCAACUCCCGCGAAACGGAAGUAACGUCGGCAAGAACACACCGGACGAGCGAAUCGGUGCGACAGUAGUACAAAUAACAGGAUCACCUUAGAACAUUCACUCCAUUCGGUGGAUCAGCUUGGUGGAAUUAUACGGAAUGCUUCGAGGCAUCAGCUGCCAGGAUCCGGGCUGCCGCCAAUGCACAACAGUAGUAUAAACAACUCUAGUAAUCGGGGCAGUUUGAAACCUGGGACGGCAUUGGUCGGAUGGAUUCCGGAAUUGGUGGAGGCAGCAGCGAAGGCAUGGUCAGCUGGUGGAAGUUGUUCUGGACUCUGGCUCCGUAAACAUCAGUGUUCAUGCCACGGGUUACCAAAAUUUAUAGUCCCGUUGUACCUAAUCACCAUUCACAUUCAAUAAUGUAAAACUAAUAAAAUUAG